rnacentral:rRNA from 1 species
CCUUUGACGUUAGCGGCGGACGGGUGAGUAACACGUGGGUAACCUACCUAUAAGACUGGGAUAACUUCGGGAAACCGGAGAUAAUACCGGAUAAUAUUUCGAACCGCAUGGUUCGAUAGUGAAAGGUGGUUUUGCUAUCACUUAUAGAUGGACCCGCGCCGUAUUAGCUAGUUGGUAAGGUAACGGCUUACCAAGGCGACGAUACGUAGCCGACCUGAGAGGGUGAUCGGCCACACUGGAACUGAGACACGGUCCAGACUCCUACGGGAGGCAGCAGCG